rnacentral:tRNA from 1 species
UAGAGGUUAGUAUAAUUUGGUAGUACACAAGGUUUUGGGCCUUGAAGUUUGGGUUCGAGGCCCAAGUGUCUAG